rnacentral:rRNA from 1 species
GACGAACGCUGGCGGCGUGCUUAACACAUGCAAGUCGAACGGAAAGGCCCUGCUUUUGUGGGGUGCUCGAGUGGCGAACGGGUGAGUAACACGUGAGUAACCUGCCCUUGACUUUGGGAUAACUUCAGGAAACUGGGGCUAAUACCGGAUAGGAGCUCCUGCUGCAUGGGGGGGGUUGGAAAGUUUCGGCGGUUGGGGAUGGACUCGCGGCUUAUCAGCUUGUUGGUGGGGUAGUGGCUUACCAAGGCUUUGACGGGUAGCCGGCCUGAGAGGGUGACCGGCCACAUUGGGACUGAGAUACGGCCCAGACUCCUACGGGAGGCAGCAGUGGGGAAUAUUGCACAAUGGGCUGAAGCCUGAUGCAGCAACGCCGCGUGCGGGAUGACGGCCUUCGGGUUGUAAACCGCUUUCGCCUGUGACGAAGCGUGAGUGACGGUAAUGGGUAAAGAAGCACCGGCUAACUACGUG